rnacentral:rRNA from 1 species
CACGGAGGGUGCAAGCGUUAAUCGGAAUUAUUGGGCGUAAAGAGUACGUAGGUGGUUUUUUAAGCGCAGGGUUUAAGGCGAUGGCUCAACUGUCGUUCGCCCUGUGAACUGGAAGACUUGAGUACAGGAGAGGAAAGCGGAAUUCCUAGUGUAGCGGUGAGAUGCAUAGAUAUUAGGAGGAACACCAGUGCGAAGGCGGCUUUCUGGACUGUAACUGACACUGAGGUACGAAAGCGUGGGGAGCAAACAGGAUUAGAUACCCUGGUAGUCCACGCCGUAAACGAUGAGCACUAGGUGUCGGGGUCGCAAGAUCUCGGUGCCGCAGUUAACGCACUAAGUGCUCCGCCUGGGGAGUACGCACGCAAGUGUGAA